UCUGGGUUCGGUAGGUUGAGAUCAGGCAUUGACCCUCCCUGGAUAUUGACCCCCGGGAUCAGGUUGAGCUUGUCGAUCAGCCAGUC
rnacentral:tRNA from 1 species